UACGUAGGUGGCGAGCGUUGUCCGGAUUUACUGGGCGUAAAGAGCGCGCAGGCGGUCGUAUAAGUCGCGUGUGAAAGCCCCCGGCUCAACUGGGGAGGGUCACGCGAUACUGUUCGACUUGAAGGCAGGAGAGGGAAGCGGAAUUCCCGGUGUAGUGGUGAAAUGCGUAGAUAUCGGGAGGAACACCAGUGGCGAAGGCGGCUUCCUGGCCUGUUCUUGACGCUGAGGCGCGAAAGCUGGGGGAGCGAACGGG
rnacentral:rRNA from 1 species